UCAGGAAGUGAUGUAGCAGGGAGACUCUUACAUAAACAUGGGAAGAAGGAAGUGGGCCCCCUCUUCCUCCAGCGGCACCAUGUGAUCCACAGCAAGGGAGGGCGCCAGUGGAAGGCGUCUGAUAAGGUUCUAGGCUGUGUUCUGAAGGUCAAGAGCACAUCAUGAUCAUGCUUGCCACCAGGAACUGGGUAAAAUGGAUUUACAUCAUAAGUAAUCAAAUUAAGAUGUCAUCAUUAGGGUAAGCCCUUGUCCUCUGAGAUGCUUGUCCUGAUAAAAGGGAGAGGAUUUGGAUUUAGAGAGUGAGACUUACAUGGUGUGGACACGGGAAUAUGACGCGAGAUCGUACAGGCAUGUCAAAAGCUGCAGGAGAACUGCCAGAGGCUAGACGGAUGGCACUGGACAGAUGUGCCCUGUGCUCUGUGGGAGGAGCCGUGCUCGUCUACACCUUGGUCCCGGGAUUCCUGGUCUCCAGAAGACAAGGGUGUCUGCUGUUGAAGCCACCUAUCUGCGCUACUUUUCUGUGGCAGUCCUAGCAAAUUAACACGGCCUCACGCGGCCUGCUCCCCAGCUUCGCCCUGCCACCCUCGAUGUCUUGCUGCCUGACAGUUUUAUAGACAGAGGGACCAGUUGCAGAGUGCACCUGCUUUUCCUGGAGAACAGACUUCACACAGAGCUUCUGGGUGUCUACAACUAGGGAAUUAUUUUCUUUAUAUAUUACUUGGCAGCAAGCAUUUAUUAUAGGUUCACACCUGCAGUUCUCUUGCCAGGGAAAUUGCCACACCCCACACCCAUCAUGCUUGUCUUUCAUCCAGGGUCCCAGAGAAAGUGUCUGCUCUCAAAGCCAUGGCUAGCUCUUCCAUAGUUUUGGUCCUCAGCCAGACUCCCCAAACUUUCUCAGAUUCCAGUAGAUAUGUAGAUGCCAUUCUUCUAAAAUAUUCACAUGAUGAUCUGAAAUAUUCCAAUUCUUCAAGCAUCAACUCAGGAGACAAACGUUUUAAUGCAAAAAAAAUAAUCACAAGGAGAAAAACCUUAUUUCUAAAACUGGUUAAAAAUAAUUAUGAAAACUAAAAGCUAAGUAGGCAACUUUCCAAAGAAAGGAGAAAUUAAUUUUCUUUACGAUAUGUUCCAGCCCUGGGGAUGGAAGCUCCUACAAUAUGGCAAGUCUUUACCUGCAUGAAUGUGGGAAUUAAUCUCCAGUUUUCCAGGUGUUAGAUCUUGUGGUUGCAUUUUAACUGCUUGUGUGGGAUUUUCCUUUUAUAUAUGCUUCCGUGUGAUUCUUGUCUGCCUCCUGGAUGGAGGACACUCAGCUUCUUGAUGAUGUCUUCAACAGUCGUUGGACUCUGAUGCCUCCCCAGGCCAGGGCCAGCCUUGGCUGUAGAUGGGUUGGGCAUAAAGCUGUCUCCACAGAAUUGCUGCCUCUCAGAUUUGGGGACUGUAACUACUCUCCUCACCUGUAGGUCUGUAGCCAGACCAUGACCACACCCUGAAGUUAACCUGCUUAGCUAAGGGUAGAGCAUGACAAUUCACCAUGCUGUUGAUUUCCUUGUUAAAGCCUACAGACUCUAAUACUAGGAAUUCGGGGCCCACUUACUGCCACCAUUGGAUGUAAGAGGAAGCUACAAACCAGAGAGGUAAUACCCUGGCUUAAGCGCACUCCUGACUCACAGCCCCGUUUUACUGCCUCCAGAGAGUCUGAAUGGCCAUCUGAGCUUUCUGUGAAUAAAUUGCCUGUCAAUCUGUGUACCUCUGAAACAGGAAGAUGACUGAAGUGUGCUUUCAUGAGUCACAGAGUUUAUUACAUAACGAUGUUUCUGAGGCUUGCAGUGGCUAAGGAGGAGGAGAACACAUACCAAGUUCACAAUGAUACGGGACGAACAUUAGCCACAUAGAGAGCUGCUUCCACAACCAUGAC